UCUAGAGAAGCAUCAUCCGUGCUGGACCAUGUACAAGUCUCUUGGAAUAGAGCGUCAUAGAGGGUGAGAAUCCCGUCCUUGACAUGGACUACCAGUGCUUUGUGUUGUGCUCUCAAC
rnacentral:rRNA from 1 species